rnacentral:rRNA from 1 species
UACGUAGGGGGCGAGCGUUGUCCGGAGUUACUGGGCGUAAAGCGCUUGUAGGCGGUCCACCAAGUUUGGGGUGACAGUUGCCGACUUAAUCGGCAAAGUGCCUCAAAGACUGGCGGACUUGAGGGCCACAGAGGGACAUGGAACUCCAGGUGUAGUAGUGAAAUGCGUAGAUAUCUGGAAGAACACCAAAGGCGAAGGCAGUGUCCUGGGUGGUCGCUGACGCUGAGAGGCGAAAGCCAGGGGAGCGAACGGG